AUGCGGUGAACGUGUCUAAACAAUUGGUCUAAAGUCUGUGAAUAAUGUCAGCUGCGGCGCUUCAUCGGCUGCACAAACUUUAUAAACGCUCGGCUGUACAGCUUCCAGCGUGAAAAUACAACGCCGGAAAAGCGCUCGGAGACUACCUACGAAAAACGGAAUAACCAUGCAGCAUGUGGGCGUGCGCGCCGCCAUUGCCUCCAAGAAACUGCUCAUAUCAGUACACGCUUGGAUGCUUUAUCUCUGAACCUACCUCAAGUCAGCAGAGGAUGUGUCAUCACUGAAAGUAAACUCAUGGUCCAAAAUCCUCACGAGGAAACUGGACAAAAGAGAGAUCAUUGGUUUCCAAGCUACCCACACCAAGUUGUGAGAAGCUCAACAGUUGCCAUAGUGACAACCCCAUCCGUCACCAAAGUUUACCAGGCGGACAAAUGCAAGCCUUAUACUGAAAAGCAGUGAUAGUGUACAGUAUGUUGAAGCGGUACAAGAUUGGGUGCACAAAUUAUUGUUUCUUGCUUCAUGAAUUACUCAGUUUAGAGGAAAUGUGCUGGCUUAAAAUUUCUUGGAUAGUGCAUAUGUGAUGGGGUACACAUACUCUGCCUUAAUCUACAUGUAAAACUUUGCAUAGAGUAUCACAUGUAACUUGUUAGCAAAUGGGCCAAGAGUAGUGCAUAUUUAGCAGCGUUUCUUUUUCAUACUGAGUAUAUAUAGAUUGCUGUAAUCGUGAAGACUUGCAAAGCAAUGGCAGGGAAAACUACAGUAGUGCUGAAACAAAAAGUUAACGUAUGCCGCUUGCUUGUAGGGAGUGACAUUGUGAAGUUUCUAAAGUAGGAAACUGUGUGCAAACACUUGUCUCUUCAGUAAACGAAACAUGUCGGGCAGUGGUCACUAGGGGAAUAGUUGCCGGGUCACUACUCUGGAAUAAAAAACCUUUGAUGAUGGGAGUAGGAGA
rnacentral:lncRNA from 1 species